GCCUAGAGUGGGCAUUCGUGCCCAUUGGGGAGAGGGGGUUUCACUGAAGUAAUCUCUGAAUGGUCCCCCAUUUAAAAAUCAAGACAGCAGUUUGUGUAUAGAUCAUGUGUCUGAAGUUUCACUGCUCAAUUCUCUAACAUUUAGGAGUUUAAAUCACUUAUGUAUUUGUUUAUGCAGCCCUAGCCACACCUACUCUGAUUGCGACUCACAGCCUGCAUGGAAAAAAAAAAAGAUUUCACUUUCAAUCAGAUGUAACUUUCUUUAAAAG